UUAAGCGACUAAGCGUACACGGUGGAUGCCCUGGCAGUCAGAGGCGAUGAAGGACGUGCUAAUCUGCGAUAAGCGUCGGUAAGGUGAUAUGAACCGUUAUAACCGGCGAUUUCCGAAUGGGGAAACCCAGUGUGUUUCGACACACUAUCAUUAACUGAAUCCAUAGGUUAAUGAGGCGAACCGGGGGAACUGAAACAUCUAAGUACCCCGAGGAAAAGAAAUCAACCGAGAUUCCCCCAGUAGCGGCGAGCGAACGGGGAGCAGCCCAGAGCCUGAAUCAGUGUGUGUGUUAGUGGAAGCGUCUGGAAAGGCGCGCGAUACAGGGUGACAGCCCCGUACACAAAAAUGCACAUGCUGUGAGCUCGAUGAGUAGGGCGGGACACGUGGUAUCCUGUCUGAAUAUGGGGGGACCAUCCUCCAAGGCUAAAUACUCCUGACUGACCGAUAGUGAACCAGUACCGUGAGGGAAAGGCGAAAAGAACCCCGGCGAGGGGAGUGAAAAAGAACCUGAAACCGUGUACGUACAAGCAGUGGGAGCACGCUUAGGCGUGUGACUGCGUACCUUUUGUAUAAUGGGUCAGCGACUUAUAUUCUGUAGCAAGGUUAACCGAAUAGGGGAGCCGAAGGGAAACCGAGUCUUAACUGGGCGUUAAGUUGCAGGGUAUAGACCCGAAACCCGGUGAUCUAGCCAUGGGCAGGUUGAAGGUUGGGUAACACUAACUGGAGGACCGAACCGACUAAUGUUGAAAAAUUAGCGGAUGACUUGUGGCUGGGGGUGAAAGGCCAAUCAAACCGGGAGAUAGCUGGUUCUCCCCGAAAGCUAUUUAGGUAGCGCCUCGUGAAUUCAUCUCCGGGGGUAGAGCACUGUUUCGGCAAGGGGGUCAUCCCGACUUACCAACCCGAUGCAAACUGCGAAUACCGGAGAAUGUUAUCACGGGAGACACACGGCGGGUGCUAACGUCCGUCGUGAAGAGGGAAACAACCCAGACCGCCAGCUAAGGUCCCAAAGUCAUGGUUAAGUGGGAAACGAUGUGGGAAGGCCCAGACAGCCAGGAUGUUGGCUUAGAAGCAGCCAUCAUUUAAAGAAAGCGUAAUAGCUCACUGGUCGAGUCGGCCUGCGCGGAAGAUGUAACGGGGCUAAACCAUGCACCGAAGCUGCGGCAGCGACGCUUAUGCGUUGUUGGGUAGGGGAGCGUUCUGUAAGCCUGUGAAGGUGUGCUGUGAGGCAUGCUGGAGGUAUCAGAAGUGCGAAUGCUGACAUAAGUAACGAUAAAGCGGGUGAAAAGCCCGCUCGCCGGAAGACCAAGGGUUCCUGUCCAACGUUAAUCGGGGCAGGGUGAGUCGACCCCUAAGGCGAGGCCGAAAGGCGUAGUCGAUGGGAAACAGGUUAAUAUUCCUGUACUUGGUGUUACUGCGAAGGGGGGACGGAGAAGGCUAUGUUGGCCGGGCGACGGUUGUCCCGGUUUAAGCGUGUAGGCUGGUUUUCCAGGCAAAUCCGGAAAAUCAAGGCUGAGGCGUGAUGACGAGGCACUACGGUGCUGAAGCAACAAAUGCCCUGCUUCCAGGAAAAGCCUCUAAGCAUCAGGUAACAUCAAAUCGUACCCCAAACCGACACAGGUGGUCAGGUAGAGAAUACCAAGGCGCUUGAGAGAACUCGGGUGAAGGAACUAGGCAAAAUGGUGCCGUAACUUCGGGAGAAGGCACGCUGAUAUGUAGGUGAAGCGACUUGCUCGUGGAGCUGAAAUCAGUCGAAGAUACCAGCUGGCUGCAACUGUUUAUUAAAAACACAGCACUGUGCAAACACGAAAGUGGACGUAUACGGUGUGACGCCUGCCCGGUGCCGGAAGGUUAAUUGAUGGGGUCAGCGCAAGCGAAGCUCUUGAUCGAAGCCCCGGUAAACGGCGGCCGUAACUAUAACGGUCCUAAGGUAGCGAAAUUCCUUGUCGGGUAAGUUCCGACCUGCACGAAUGGCGUAAUGAUGGCCAGGCUGUCUCCACCCGAGACUCAGUGAAAUUGAACUCGCUGUGAAGAUGCAGUGUACCCGCGGCAAGACGGAAAGACCCCGUGAACCUUUACUAUAGCUUGACACUGAACAUUGAGCCUUGAUGUGUAGGAUAGGUGGGAGGCUUUGAAGUGUGGACGCCAGUCUGCAUGGAGCCGACCUUGAAAUACCACCCUUUAAUGUUUGAUGUUCUAACGUUGACCCGUAAUCCGGGUUGCGGACAGUGUCUGGUGGGUAGUUUGACUGGGGCGGUCUCCUCCUAAAGAGUAACGGAGGAGCACGAAGGUUGGCUAAUCCUGGUCGGACAUCAGGAGGUUAGUGCAAUGGCAUAAGCCAGCUUGACUGCGAGCGUGACGGCGCGAGCAGGUGCGAAAGCAGGUCAUAGUGAUCCGGUGGUUCUGAAUGGAAGGGCCAUCGCUCAACGGAUAAAAGGUACUCCGGGGAUAACAGGCUGAUACCGCCCAAGAGUUCAUAUCGACGGCGGUGUUUGGCACCUCGAUGUCGGCUCAUCACAUCCUGGGGCUGAAGUAGGUCCCAAGGGUAUGGCUGUUCGCCAUUUAAAGUGGUACGCGAGCUGGGUUUAGAACGUCGUGAGACAGUUCGGUCCCUAUCUGCCGUGGGCGCUGGAGAACUGAGGGGGGCUGCUCCUAGUACGAGAGGACCGGAGUGGACGCAUCACUGGUGUUCGGGUUGUCAUGCCAAUGGCACUGCCCGGUAGCUAAAUGCGGAAGAGAUAAGUGCUGAAAGCAUCUAAGCACGAAACUUGCCCCGAGAUGAGUUCUCCCUGACUCCUUGAGAGUCCUGAAGGAACGUUGAAGACGACGACGUUGAUAGGCCGGGUGUGUAAGCGCAGCGAUGCGUUGAGCUAACCGGUACUAAUGAACCGUGAGGCUUAACCUU
rnacentral:rRNA from 5 species